AACGAACGCUGGCGGCAUGCCUAACACAUGCAAGUCGAACGAGACCUUCGGGUCUAGUGGCGCACGGGUGCGUAACGCGUGGGAAUCUGCCCUUGGGUUCGGAAUAACAGUUAGAAAUGACUGCUAAUACCGGAUAAUGUCUUCGGACCAAAGAUUUAUCGCCCAGGGAUGAGCCCGCGUAGGAUUAGCUAGUUGGUGAGGUAAAGGCUCACCAAGGCGACGAUCCUUAGCUGGUCUGAGAGGAUGAUCAGCCACACUGGGACUGAGACACGGCCCAGACUCCUACGGGAGGCAGCAGUGGGGAAUAUUGGACAAUGGGCGAAAGCCUGAUCCAGCAAUGCCGCGUGAGUGAUGAAGGCCUUAGGGUUGUAAAGCUCUUUACCCGGGAUGAUAAUGACAGUACCGGGAGAAUAAGCCCCCGGCUAACUCCGUGCCAGCAGCCGCGGUAAU
rnacentral:rRNA from 1 species